GCAUCAAUGGGGUAGUGGUAACCUGGGUCGUUGCCAUUGAUUCAUGCGCCUGUUCAUACGUAUUUCGACCCACUUAUUUCGAUCCGCUGGGGGUUCGAUUCCCCCUUGAUGCA
rnacentral:tRNA from 1 species